GACUGUAUUUUACUUUAGAGGAUUCUAACACCAGGACGUAACAAGGCAGGGAGCUGCCGUUGUCAGAAAAACACAGACGGUGCGUUCACAUGAAACUCGCAUGCCUUGUGGUGCAUUUUAAGUUAUUGUAAAAUACCCUUUUCCCAUCUGGUGCUUGUUUUUGUCAUUUACCAGCAAUGCACUUUUGAAAUAAGUUAUUGUUACUACUUUAUUAAUCAGUCAUUUAUUUUGACCAUAUGGCCUCAGCAAUAAACAAGCCGUUCUUUAAAGUCAGGAACUGUUGUUUA